AACGAACGCUGGCGGCAUGCCUAACACAUGCAAGUCGAACGAGACCUUCGGGUCUAGUGGCGCACGGGUGCGUAACGCGUGGGAACCUGCCUUUAGGUUCGGAAUAACUCAGAGAAAUUUGAGCUAAUACCGGAUAAUGUCUUCGGACCAAAGAUUUAUCGCCUUUAGAUGGGCCCGCGUUGGAUUAGCUAGUUGGUGGGGUAAAGGCCUACCAAGGCGACGAUCCAUAGCUGGUCUGAGAGGAUGAUCAGCCACACUGGGACUGAGACACGGCCCAGACUCCUACGGGAGGCAGCAGUGGGGAAUAUUGGACAAAUGGGCGGAAAGCCUGAUCCAGCAAUGCCGCGUGAGUGAUGAAGGCCUUAGGGUUGUAAAGCUCUUUUACCCGAGAUGAUAAUGACAGUAUCGGGAGAAUAAGCUCCGGCUAACUCCGUGCCAGCAGCCGCGGUAAUGUAGACGUCU
rnacentral:rRNA from 1 species